AUUGAACGCUGGCGGCAUGCCUUACACAUGCAAGUCGAACGGCAGCACGGGUGCUUGCACCUGGUGGCGAGUGGCGAACGGGUGAGUAAUACAUCGGAACGUACCUUAUCGUGGGGGAUAACGCAGCGAAAGCUGUGCUAAUACCGCAUACGCCCUGAGGGGGAAAGCGGGGGAUCGCAAGACCUCGCGCGAUUAGAGCGGCCGAUGCCUGAUUAGCUAGUUGGUGGGGUAAAAGCCCACCAAGGCGACGAUCAGUAGCUGGUCUGAGAGGACGAUCGGCCACACUGGGACUGAGACACGGCCCAGCAUCCUACGGGAGGCAGCAGUGGGGAAUUUUGGACAAUGGGGGCAACCCUGAUCCAGCAAUGCCGCGUGAGUGAAGAAGGCCUUCGGGUUGUAAAGCUCUUUUGUCAGGGAAGAAACACCGGCUCUAACACAGUCCGGGAAUGACGGUACCUGAAGAAUAAGCACCGGCUAACUACAUGCCAGCCGCCGCCGUAA
rnacentral:rRNA from 1 species